GAUUAUUUCUGGACGGCCAUAUAAAAAUGCAUGGGCUCAUAGACUUGCAAAAAACCUAUUCCAGAAAUCGUUGUUAUUCAUCCCCAUAUUCCUGGUCUGCUCCGUCUACUAAAAACUGAUGUAAUUUAUAAACCUGGACAUUUCGUUAUUGUAAGGUUUGCAGCACUUUUGGGUUCCGACUAGAGGCAGAUUUCCAACCAGGCAGAGGGAGUUCAAUGUGUUCUGCC